GGACACUGAAAGACAGGGUUCACUCCCUCUGCUGCGCAGCUGGAGCUCAGAGCCCGCAGGCCACAACCCCCACCCGCCACACACAACAUGGCGGCGAUUUAGACCUACGUCCAACUUCCGUUUCCUGUGCGGAUGUACGUCACUUCCUCUCCGGUUGCCCUGGAGUUUUAGAAGCCAAGAAGGUGCAGAGUCUGUUCCUCAUCCCUUACGAAUUCUUGCUUCUGCCGCAGCACAGUCUUACGGAGCAGUUUCGAGGCUCUGCCGCCAGCGGCUUGAUGAUGCUGCGGAAGCCCCUAGGUAGCUGAGAAGUUGGUGGAAUCUUCUUACUGGUGCAGCUUUCACUACUGCUUGUUGUUCAAGUGUGAGAUAAAGGUGAGCAGAAAAUUCUCGAGUGCACUGUUUACCUACAGCACACCGCAACUCGACUUCUGAAAGUUGAAAGAAACAGGUUUGCACAAUUGUCGUGUGUGACAUAGAAAAGACAUGUCAUAGCUUUUAUGCUAAUAAAAUGCUUUUAAAAUUAG
rnacentral:lncRNA from 1 species